UCUCUCUUUCCUCUUCACCUGACCCUAUCAAAGGAACCCAGCUUUCCAUCUCACUACCAGACGACGACGUUUUGAACUCAUUCUUCAUCGUUUUCUCUACUUCCCCUUCUUCUUCUGCUCUCCAAUGGCUAUCCUCGCCGCAAACGUUUAACAAAAAAACACCCUUUUGUUUAUACCCAAUGCCAGUGUAAUGAUUUUCAAAAGCUCAACUUGUUUGUAUAUUUUCCAAGGGCCUUCGGAGUUGAUGCCACCAGAAAAAGACUUGAAAGUCAUAAGAGAAGCUAAGAUCUGAGAAGAGAUGUUAGACCGGGAAGCUUCACUUAGACGAGCCAGAGCAAAAGCAUCUCUUUCUGAUGGUAUCUCAUGGGGCAUGGGAGAGGAUGCUAUUGAAGAAGCAGAGGAUGAUGGACCAGAUGUUGAAGGAAAUACUAGCCAUAAAUUUGUCUCCAAGGGGUGGAGGUGGUUAAAAAUUAUAAAGAUUUUUCAUUCUUAGACUAUGCAAGAGUUGGUAGGGCAUUGGCCUUAUACGAGGUUGGAGACAAAGAAGAAGCUUUUGCAGAGAUGGAAGAUGUUUCAAUAUCUUUAAAGGGAUAUCCAUGUGCUAUAUUAGAGUUCAAAUUUAUUAGAUUUCAAUAUCUUUAAUAUAAUAUUUUUGGUAUAUGGCUUUUUCAAGCAGGUGAAACUUUCUGUCUCUGGCAGGGAUUUUUGUUUAACUUUCAUUUCAAGACGUUCUCGACAUUAUGCUGGGACAAGGUUAGAUGCUGGGACAAACAAGAGGUUAGCUUGAGUGCCUUUGCAUUUUUGUUUUCUAAGCUUGUUCAGUACAAUCAAACUCGGGUUGACAACAUUGCUGAAUUAGAAAGAAGG